UAAUAACCUGUGCGAAGAUACACUAUGAUUAUCAUAUAUAUACUUAAUUGGAUUAUAUGAUUUACGAGAUUAUGAAUGAUUCGAGAAGGAUUUACAUUUAAAGAAAUGUAUAUAUAUAUAGACAUUAAGGAGGAUGGGAGAAUUCGUAAAAUUAAAUACGCAGUUUUUAUGAUGAUCGAAGUUUAUUUGUUUGAGAGAUUAAAGUUGUAGAUUCAAAGUAAAGCUAAAGAUUAGCAUUUCACUUACGUUGAAAAGGUUGUCGCAGGGGUGACUUAUUUUGGUUGUUAUGAAGACUUGCUAAUUAUUAUGAUUAGGAAAAAUAUUUUUAGGUUUAAGUAGGUAACUAAGGAAAUAAUAGUUUGGCGAUAGAUAAUAGUACUGUACAGGAAAGUUGAAAUAUUCUAGUGAAAUAGAUGGGAAGUAUUAGUUAAAUUAAGUACCUUGUGUAUUAGGGAUAUUUUACAUUAAAUAUUUUAAUAUCUUCCCGAAAUAAGAAGAGCUAAAUUAAAGGUCGAGUUUUUGUGGUAAAAAAUUCAAAACCUUAUUUUAGUAGUGAAAUGUUAAUCGAGUCUUAAGAUAUCUGGUUUUUUUUGAAAAAAAUUCAAUUUUUUCUUUGCAUUAAGGUAAGGCAAGGCUUAGGAACAGAGGGGGCUAGCUCUUUGUUUAAUUAUUUUAGUUAUAAAAAUAAAUAGAAAGGUAUGUUUAACUAGGCUUAGGGGUAGCUAUGUUUACAGGGAGUUAUAUCUGAGAUACAAGGAGAGGAGUAUUUAUUAUUUUUUAAGUAGGUAGGAAAGACUUUUUAUGAAUUUAGUUUAAAGAUUUAAAGUGAGUAUAUUAGUAUAUAAUUUGUUUGUUUUAAAUAAAUUUUGGAGAAUUAAUGAGAUUUAUUGAAGGGGUGAUGAGUGUAAGGAAUUCGGCAAAUAGGGCUCUUCCGCCUGUUUAUCAAAAACAUGUCUAUAUGAGAGUUAUAUAAAGUCUGACCUGCCCAUUGGGGACUAAAAGGCCGCGGUUAUUUUGACCGUGCGAAGGUAGCAUAAUCAUUAGUCUUUUAAUUGGAGGCUGGAAUGAAUGGUUGGACGAGAAGGAAGCUGUCUCUAUCUCGGAGAUUGAAUUUAACUUUUAAGUGAAAAGGCUUAAAUAAGUUAGAGGGACGAUAAGACCCUAUAAAGUUUAUACAUGAAGUUGGUUAAGAGUGAUUUAAGGUGUUAAAGUUUAUUAUCAGCAGGGUGUUUAGUUGGGGCGACUAGGAUAUAAAUUAUAUAACUGUUUUUUGUUUAAAUCAGAGAUAUUUGUUCAUAUGGUCCCUUUUUAGGAUUAGAGAAUAAAUUACUUUAGGGAUAACAGCGUAAUUUUUUUAAGAGUUCUUAUCGACAAGAGAGUUUGCGACCUCGAUGUUGAAUUGAAAAUUUCUCUGUGGUGUAGCGGUUACAGGAGAAGGUCUGUUCGACCUUUAAAUUUUUACAUGAUUUGAGUUCAGACCGGCGAAAGCCAGGUUGGUUUCUAUCUUCUAAGGAGUUAGAGGUUAUUUUAGUACGAAAGGAUUAAGUAAUUGAAAUAGUUUUAAUAAAAAAUCAGAAAAAAUCAGAAAAAAGCAGGGACUUUUCUUUAAUCUCCAAAAUUAAUAUUUUAAGUAAACUAUUUUCUGUUAGAAUUUUGAAGGUCGCAGAGGUCUUGAUGAGAUACUAAUAAUACUAACAAUAACAAUUAAGGUAAGUAAGAGAUAUAAAAUUACUAGAGUAGUAAGAGGGAAAGAAGUAAUGGAGUAGAUGGAACUGGUUGAUAAGGUGGCUAAAUUUGUUUUAUUUCUUAGAAUUAAGAAUAGUCUAGAUUUGGAAAAUUUUGAUGGGAGAAGUAAGAGAUCUAGAAAGAUUAAGGUAAAGGAUAUGGGUAAGGUAGAGUGAUUAGUAGACUGGAUUUAAAAUGAAUUUUAAAGGCUUCGUUGGAAGCAAGAGAAGAGACAUAAAUGAACAAAAUUAAUAUUCCUCCUAGAAAAAUUAGAAAUAGGAUAUAUGAGAAUCAGUAGGAAGGCCUGAAUAGGCCUGAAAGAGCACAGAUAAGAAUAGUUUGAGUGAGUAGGACUAGUCCUAUGGAAAGAGGGUGGGUUAGAGUCGUGAAUAGGAUAGCAACUCUUAGGGUAAGAGGGAGAGAUGAAAUAUAAAAUAUUAUAACUGAUUUUGUAUAAAGUUCUAAAAAUGGGCUUUAUCUUUGGUUUACAAGACCAAGAUUUUUUGUUUAAACUACUAGAACCUUUCAAUUUAAAUAGUUUAGAGUAAAACAUCGGGUUGUGGUAUCGAAGAUAUAAGAAAGUUAUUUUAAAUCAUGAUGUGGGGUGCCUAUAGUCAUUUAGUGAGUUUGGUGUUUUUGUUAUUUAGGGCAUUGGGUUUUAUUUUAUUUAGUUUGGUGAGAAUAAGCUUGAGGUCUUCUUAUGUAAUUGAGUGAGAGCUUUUUCUUUAAAAAUUUUUCCUCUGUUGUAGUGACUUUGAUUUAUGAUUGAGUAAGGUUCUUAUUUUUAGGGGGGGUUUUAUUUAUCUCCUCUACGGUAAUAUAUUAUAGGGGGGAUUAUAUGAGCGGGGAUAAGAGGUACAGGCGAUUUAUAUAUUUAGUUUUUGGUUUUGUUUUAUCUAUAGGG